rnacentral:rRNA from 1 species
GUUCGAUCCCGGCCUAGAUUGAACGCUGGCGGGAUGCUUUACACAUGCAAGUCGAACGGCAGCACGGACUUCGGUCUGGUGGCGAGUGGCGAACGGGUGAGUAAUGUAUCGGAACGUGCCUAGUAGCGGGGGAUAACUACGCGAAGUUGUAGCCACACCGCAUAUUGGCCCUUCGGGGAAAGCGGGGACCUUCGGGCCUCGCACUAUUAGAGCGGCCGAUAUCGGAUUAGCUAGUUGGUGGGUAACGGCUCACCAAUAUGACGAUCCGUAGCUGGUUUGAGAGGACGACCAGCCACACUGGGACUGAGACAUCGGCCCAGACUUUCACGUGAGGCAGGGAAUUUUGGACAAUGGGGGAAACCCUGAUCCAGCCAUCCCGCGUGUGCGAUGAAGGCCGGGUUGUAAAGCACUUUUGGCAGGAAGAAACGGCACGGGAUAAUACCCCGUGCAACUGACGGUACCUGCAGAAUAAGCACCGGCUAACUACGUGCCAGCAGCUCGGCGGUAAUACGUAGGGUGCAAGCGUUAAUCGGAAUUACUGGGCGUAAAGCGUGGCGCAGGCGGUUCUGAAAGAAAGAUAAAAUCCUGAGCUUUAACUUUGAACUGCAUUUUUAACUACCGAGCUAGAGUGUGUCAGAGGGAGGUGGAAUUCCCGUGUGGAAGAAUGAAAUGCGUAGAUAUGCGGAGGAACACCGAUGGCGAAGGCAGCCUCCUGGGAUAACACUGACGUUCAUGCACGAAAGCGGGGAGCAACAGGAUUAGAUACCCCGGUAGUCCACGCCCUAAACGAUGUCAACUAGCUGUUGGGGCCUUUCGGCCCGGUAGCGCAGCUAACGCGUGAAGUUGACCGCCUGUAGAGUACGGUCGCAAGAUUUAAAACUCAAAGGAAUUGAUUUGGACCCGCAACAAGCGGGUGGAUGAUGUGGAUUAAUUGAUGCAACGCGAAAACCUUACCUACCUUUGACAUGUCUGAAUCCUGAAGAGAUUUGGGAGUGCUCGUAAGAGAACCGAACACAGGUGCUGCAUGGCUGUCGUCAGCUCGUGUCGUGAGAUGCUGUUGCAAGUCCCGUAACGAAACGCAACUCCUUGUCAUUAGUUGCUACGAAAGGGCACCUAAUGAGAACUGCCGGUGACAAACCGGAGGAAAAGGUGGGACACGUCAAGUCCUCAUGGCCCUUAUGGGUAGGCUUCACACGUCAUACAAUGGUCGGGACAGAGGGUCGCCAACCCGCGAAAGCUAAUCCCAGAAACCCGAUCGUGGUCCGGAUCGCAGUCUGCAACUCGACUGCGUGAAGUCGGAAUCGCUAGUAAUCGCGGAUCAGCAUGUCGCGGUGAAUACGUUCCCGGGUCUUGUACACACCGCCCGUCACACCAUGGGAGUGGGUUUUACCAGAAGUAGUUAGCCUAACCGUAAGGAGGCGAUUACUAUCGUAGAUUCAUGACUGGGGUGUCGCACAAGGUAG